rnacentral:rRNA from 1 species
AUUGAACGCUGGCGGCAUGCCUUACACAUGCAAGUCGAACGGCAGCACGGGGCAACCUGGUGGCGAGUGGCGAACGGGUGAGUAAUGCAUCGGAACGUACCUUUCAGUGGGGGAUAACGUAGCGAAAGUUACGCUAAUACCGCAUAUUCUGUGAGCAGGAAAGCAGGGGAUCGCAAGACCUUGCGCUGAUUGAGCGGCCGAUGUCAGAUUAGCUAGUUUGUGAGGUAAAGGCUCACCAAGGCGACGAUCUGUAGCGGGUCUGAGAGGAUGAUCCGCCAAACUGGAACUGAGACACAGGCCAGAAUCCUACGUGAGGCAGCAGUGGGGAAUUUUGGACAAUGGGGGCAACCCUGAUCCAGCCAUGCCGCGUGAGUGAAGAAGGCCUUCGGGUUGUAAAGCUCUUUCGGCCGGGAAGAAAUCGCACGGGCUAAUACCCUGUGUGGAUGACGGUACCGGAAUAAGAAGCACCGGCUAACUACGUGCCAGCCGCCGCGGUAACAC